UACGUAGGGUGCAAGCGUUGUCCGGAAUUAUUGGGCGUAAAGAGCUCGUAGGCGGUUUGUCGCGUCGGCUGUGAAAACCUGGGGCUCAACCCCGGGCCUGCAGCCGAUACGGGCAAACUAGAAUUCGGUAGGGGAGACUGGAAUUCCUGGUGUAGCGGUGAAAUGCGCAGAUAACAGGAGGAACACCGGUGGCGAAGGCGGGUCUCUGGGCCAUAACUGACGCUGAGGAGCGAAAGCGUGGGGAGCGAACAGG
rnacentral:rRNA from 1 species